GCUAAGUAAGACACUCGAUGAAGCCUUUGGCAUAAUGACUGCAUGUUGAGUUCAGUAUAUGUUGGUACUGAGGAGGCAUGAGAGGACAACACCAGAGAAGGGGGUGCAGAAUGACCACAAGGAAUUUGAAAAGGCUUUCCAGAGGAAUGAGCCAUCAAGUUAGCAUCUGGAGAUGGCAGAACAAGAAGACAGAAAGGAUGGAUCCUUCAUGAGGUGGACCAGCUGCUAAAUUAUCCAAUUCUGGAAUUGUGGUUGGUCAUAUGGAGAAGAAAAUGGCAACCCACUCCAGUAUUCUUGCCUGGAGA